GUCCCUGUGGCGUAAUGAAUAGAGCGUUGGACUUCAAAUCCAAAGGUCGUGGGUUCGAAUCCCACCUGGGAUG
rnacentral:tRNA from 1 species